UACGAAGGGGGCUAGCGUUGUUCGGAAUUACUGGGCGUAAAGCGCGUGUAGGCGGCUAUGCAAGUCGGAUGUGAAAGCCCUCGGCUCAACCGGGGAAGUGCACCCGAAACUGCAAAGCUAGAGUCUCGGAGAGGAUCGUGGAAUUCUCGGUGUAGAGGUGAAAUUCGUAGAUAUCGAGAGGAACACCGGUGGCGAAGGCGGCGAUCUGGUCCGUGACUGACGCUGAGGCGCGAAAAGCGUGGGGAGCAAACAGG
rnacentral:rRNA from 1 species